ACGCUCGACACCUACUGGAGGCAGCAGUGGGGAAUAUUGCACAAUGGGGGAAACCCUGAUGCAGCGACGCCGCGUGAGCGAAGAAGUAUUUCGGUAUGUAAAGCUCUAUCAGCAGGGAAGAAAGUGACGGUACCUGACUAAGAAGCCCCGGCUAACUACGUGCCUGCAGCCGCGGUAAUCUGAGCGGGCUGGCAAGGC
rnacentral:rRNA from 1 species